UAGACAAAGGCCAAGCAUCAACAAGAGAAAGGUCUAAGGUAAGACCCAGCCUCUAGGAGUCUCUUUCAAUGAGGUUGUACCUUCCAUAGUCCAUGAAAUGCUACCUUCAUCAUUACAUCAAACCACUGUGUAGAACUGAGCCCUCAUGUACACACUCAGACUAUCUUUGACUAGUUUCUUAGGCUUCCUCAUUCUAGUCAAGUUUACAGUUAAAAUUGAUCAUGACAGACAAACUGUACACACAUAAAUGUGGACUUCAAUUCAUUUAAAAAUUGGUAUGGGUAUCUCUUCGAAGAGGGCCAUUUGGAAGGUCCUAGAAGUAAUUAAGGGAAUUUGAAGAUGUGAUUCUCUCUCUCACACAUCUUCUUGAGGCACAUUUGCACUGAAUCUGUGGUAACCAUAAUACCUCUAAAAGGACCUUGCCACAAAAACAAACAAACAACAACAACAAGAAAACUAGAACCAAUAACAUAGAAGCUUGAUGAGCUCUAUUUUAGAUAUUGAAUUAAAAUCUAAAAUUCAAAGUGAGGUUGAACUGCAUAGAGACAAAAUGUUCCCACUAGGCUAAGGCAUGAUCACAUUACCAUUGCACUUCCUCACUUAUCCAGUUACUUAGCCAUGUGAAGAUCUGACAGAUCCCAAGAAAACUUGCUUCAAUGGAUGAAGUCUGUGGGUCGAAAUCUAUACUGCCUUCUGCCCCCAUCCCACAUCUUAUUAUAGCAUAAGCUUUAGGAAGUCAUCAACCUCUGUUUGUGUUUUAUAGUGGGAAUGAUAUUGGCAUGUUUAGUUACUUCUUAUUCACUAAAGAACAGAUCAGAAUGACACAAUAAUAUUACAAAUUCUUACUAUAUGGUUAAUGCAAUUUAUAGUUUCUAAAUGUGUGUAUAUUUCUUUUUAGAAAUAGUUCAAGUCCAAUAACAUGACAUACAGUCACAAUGUUGUAAAACCAUCAGCACUACCUAAAUCUGAAAGUCUGUCUCUUUUCUCAAAACAUUAAACACCGAAUGAUCCCAUUCCAUGCCUUCUCCUUGCUCAUAGGUAUCAUAUUUAUUAUGGUAGAAUCUCUUCUUUGAUCAUAAGUAGAAUCACAGCAUCUAUUUUCUUUUCUGUCCAACUCACUUCAGUUGGGAUGCUGCCAAGGAUGUUACACAGUAUACAGUUCUAACUCCUUCACCAUGCUGAGUGACACUUGCCCACGCAUGCACUAUGUUUAGCUAUACCAUUUCUUUGUUGAAAGAUUCUUUGGUAAUAAUCUAUGUUUUGUCUUUUGUAGAAAAGACUGCUAUAAAUGGGAUAUUAACAUCAGCUCACAUAUCCGUGUUAAUCAUAGUGGGAUCUGAGAGUCAAUGUUGGUAUAUUAUGAGAGGCUAAGUUAGCUUUUGAGGGACCACCAUACUCUCCCCAACAGUGUGUCUACACACACACACACACACACACACACACACACAUAGUCUAUGUUCUCGCAAGCAGUGAAUUCUCUUCAUUUUACUGCUCAAAACAUGUCACUCAUUCUCAUUCCCCCAUUUGUGUGUGUGUGUGUGUGUGUGUGUGUGUGUGUGUGUGUGUGUACAAGUUACUGAUCCUGCUGCAUCUGAAAUGGUAUCCCCCUGUGUGGUGACUUGUGGGUAGUGGGCUGCACACAGACAGCCUGGUCUCCAGUUGAGCAAAGGUCUGAAACCCCAGGGACCUGAUGGGUGAUGAAUUCCACCUUCAUGGGACAGAAGGUGUUCAAUCAUAUCUCCUGGGCCCCCGGCUCCUGUCGAAGUUACUUCCUCCACAGGUCCCCCAGGAAAGGUGUGUGGCUAUCAGUCACAUAGGAACAGAACCAAACCUUCCCACAUGCAAAUAAGGUUUCGCCCAAGCUCUCAGUCCAAGCCAAUGAGAGGUACCUGUUGUCGAACCCUGAAUCACCCCAAAACUGUCUAUAAAUUCUAUUCAGGGAAUUAAAGUUGUGGGAGACCUACUGAGUCUUUUGUUCCAAGAGCUGUAACAAUUGGGAAGGGAUCUCUCCCGAAGCUCCAACUGAGGUUCCACUCUAGUCCUCACUGAAGAGUUGCUUUCCCGUCAGUCCAGCCUGACCGGACUCAGUGCAAAGCUGCGCAGUUACCGAGUGACCUGGAAGGCAUGGUAGAGACUUCGUCUCCCUGCCAAUACUAGCUUCCCUUCGCCAAAACUCUCACACCAGGCCUGGCAAAAGAUCUCCUUGGGAAACCUCUGGUACCCGGCCCAAAGUGACUAAAAUGGAAGAGCUUGUUUUCUUUUGGGUGCUGAGUUGCAGCUUUGGAAGACAUAUAUUCUAGUGUUGUGUUCCCUCAUUUGAGGUCUUCCACACAUGUUUUUUCGAUAUUUAUGGAGAGACAUUCACUUUAUUAGUCUCUUCUUUGAUGUUCUAUUCAAGGAAUAGUAAUCACAUCCUAUAUCACAAGAUAUUCCCCCAAUUUAUAAGUGUUUAGUUCAUCUUAUACUUAAAUUCUGACUUGCUUAUAAUAAAUUUUAUUUGUUAAUUGGUCCAAAUCUUUUCUUUGACCAAUGAUUAUUUCCCCCAGAAUUACAUGGUGAGUUACUUUGCUUUCCUCGACUGGUAAUCUUGGUUUCCUUGUGAAAAGUCAUUUGUCCAUGGGUGAAGAAUUUAGUGACUGGCUGUCUGACCUAUUCUUGAGAUCCACAAACAUGGCUUCAUGUCAUUAUCACACUGUUUUGACUACUCUGAUUCUGUAGUACAUCUUAAAUUCUGUUAUUUUCUCAAAAUUGCACUGAUAUACAGUAUUGUUUGAUAUUGUGUUCCAAGUUUACAAUAGAUAUUUCCUAUCUCACUCUGAAAUAAGAUUUUGACAGAUUUGGUGUUAAAUCUAUGAUGUUUUCUUUCUUCUUUUUGUCUUUUGUCUUCUCCCUUCCUCCUCCUCUUCCUCUUCUUCUUCCUCUUCCUCUUCUCCUUCUCCUUUCUUUCUAUUCCUCUCCUCCUCCUUCUUCUUUUUCUCCCCCCUCCCCCUUUACCUCCUCUCCUCCCACCUCCUCUUCUUCUUAUUUUCUCUUCGGGGAAGAGUCUUUGCAAAAUUAAGGCACCAAAUCCUUGAGCACAUAUGUUCUCCUGAUGAUUUAUAUCUUUAAUUCUUCUCAGAAAUAUUUUUACUCUUCAAAUCCACAUGCUUUCAACUUUCAUUAAAUUUGUUCCUGUCAUUUAAUACUUUACAAUGAUGAAAUAAAUUAAAACUCUGCCUUCCUGUCUCUUAAAACUGAUCUUGCAACAAGAAAUAAGGCAGACCGGGCAGCUGUUAUUGUCUUCACAGCAUGAUUCAGGAGGCUUAUGAGUUAAACUUCAGUCUAAUUUGUAAGAUCAUGAUUGAUAUUUUUAGGUGUUGGCUUUAACCCCAACAUGACUGCAUCUUUGUCUAGGUUAUUAACCUACACUUAUAUCAUGGCAUACCUGACAUCAUGGUGCUGAUGACACAAAAGUGUUAUGAGAGCAAAGUGUGCAGUUCCUUUGUGAAUCCUUUGGAGGGUCCUAAGAAGGUUAUCUACACAGUUCCACUUCCUGAAGCUCCUUGCACAGCUGCCUUGGUUGCUGCUGAAGAUAUACCAGGACAAAGUGAGAACAGGAUCGGCUGACCCUCACAUCCACAACCUCUGAGUUAAUUGUGGCUUGGUGUAGCAAACUGAACAGGUCUUCACUGACAGUCAUAGUUUUUCAGACAUAAAGCACUCACUAUCUUAAACUUAGGGAGUAUCCAUAUGAUUAAUGAUUACCCGUGUAAAUGCUAAAUGCUAAUACUACAUCAAAUAACAGCAAAGCUACUCUCUGUAGAUAAACUAACAAUUGCAUCUUCUAUAGUCCUCAAUGUGUUAACUUCAGGGAUUUUUUUUCUGUUCUUCGUUGCUCAAGUUAUAUAUUAUUUGAUUGCAUUUACUUAUGUGACUGUUUACUUUAAAGUAGAGGGGUCUGUUUCAAAUCUUUGUCUUAAAAAACAAGCAAGCAAGAAAACAAACAAGAAAAAAAAACAGCAUACAUUUCCACAAUUAAUUUUUGCUUCAACUACAUGGGCUGGGGAAUCAAACUCCUGCCUUCAGGCUUGGUAUCAAAUGUCUGAACUGUCUGCGCCCUCUCCCUACCUUGGAAGGAGUAUUUAAACUUUUACCUCUAUUUUGGUAAAUGAGAAGAAAACUCUUAUUUCAAGUGAUAUGUAGUGAUAUUAGCAAUUGCUUUAUUAAUCAUGUGUUUGAAAAAAUUAUAUUCUUGUAUGUAAGAGAGUUAUUAACCACUUAAAGAUACUUAAUUUCCAUAUGCACGUAAACAACAAAAACAGUCUCAGCAGGCUAUAUUUAUAUAUUUGUUCAUAUAUAAAUGCAUGUGACAAAAUAAUGAAAGAAGAAGAGGCUAUCAACACGAGACUGUGGAGUUAUGAGAAAAAUGGAUGAAGGGCAAUUUGGAGGUGCUGGAGGGAGG
rnacentral:lncRNA from 1 species